GGGGGGGGGGGGGGGGGGGGGGGGGGGGGGGAGGGGGAGGGGGGGCGGUGGGAGGGGGCGUCUAUGGAUCGUGGUGGCGAGGGGGGGGGUAACGCGGAAUCGACCUGCCCUUCAGGGGGGGACAACAGGUGGCAACGACUGCUAAUACCGCAUACGACCCAAUCUCGGCAUCGAGGAUGGCGGAAAGGGGGCCUCGAUUUGUAAGCUAUCACUGAAGGAGUGGAUUGCGUCUGAUUCGCUCGUUGGAGGGGUAACGGCCCACCAAGGCGAUGAUCAGUAGCCGGUCUGAGAGGAUGAACGGCCACAUUGGGACUGAGACACGGCCCAGACUCCUACGGGAGGCAGCAGUGGGGAAUCUUCCGCAAUGGACGAAAGUCUGACGGAGCAACGCCGCGUGAGUGAUGACGGCCUUCGGGUUGUAAAGCUCUGUUAAUCGGGACGAAAGGUCCUCUUGCGAAUAGUUAGAGGAAUUGACGGUACCGGAAUAGAAAGCCACGGCUAACUACGUG
rnacentral:rRNA from 1 species